rfam:Myotis brandtii contig262491, whole genome shotgun sequence.
AGCGGUUCUUGGGUGACACACCCCAGAACCAGAGAGGAGGGAGCCCGAUUCUGGGGUGCGUCACCUGAGAACCGCC